rnacentral:rRNA from 1 species
UACGUAGGGGGCUAGCGUUGUCCGGAUUUAUUGGGCGUAAAGAGCGUGUAGGCGGCCAGGUAGGUCUGCUGUGAAAACUCGAGGCUCAACCUCGAGAUGUCGGCGGAAACCAUCUGGCUAGAGUCCGGAAGAGGAGAGUGGAAUUCCUGGUGUAGCGGUGAAAUGCGCGGAUAUCAGGAAGAACACCCGUGGCGAAGGCGGCUCUCUGGGACGGUACUGACGCUGAGACGCGAAAGCGUGGGGAGCGAACAGG